CUGAUAGAACUGGCACAGCUAUUA
rnacentral:piRNA from 1 species